GUAUGCUGCUGCCUCAGGCAAUGCGCGCCGCGCCCUUGGCGCCGGGCACCGCCUUGAGCGAUGUGCUACCAGUUGGGCAGUGUGCUGCCUUCAUCUUGGGUGGUGUGCCACCAUCAUUUGGGAGGUAUGCCUUUAUUUUUUAUGUCGCUAUCACAUCGCGUCAUUCAUAUGUCAGUUAGAUCUGUCAAACGUCAUAUCACUCCUUUUCCAUUAACUUUCUCU
rnacentral:lncRNA from 1 species